CCCAACUCUGGCUUAUCCUCCCCAUCAUCAUCCCAUCCAGAAAAACGUAUCCACAAUUCUUGCAACAGGGAGGCUGGUGGCGGCCGGCUGCCGGCUGCCGGCUGCCGGCGAGCGAUUCCCCCGGCGUCCGUCGCACUUGGGCAGCUCCCUCUGGAAUUAGCCGGCGGCUAAGCGAGCUCCUCGUCUUGCCUCGCGUCCCCAAUCCUCUGCUCUGCUCUGGCGAGGGACUCCGGCGGGACGGGAGCUCUCUGCCAUGCCAUGAAUAAGCAUCUCUGUGUUAGAAAGAGCUUACUAGUACUGAUAUGAGGGUAAUACUAGGAAGUAUGGAGUAUGGAGUAUGUAUGAGGGAAAUACUAGUACUGAUAUGGAAUGCACCCUGGAAAAUAAUGAAGCGUGGAAACGCAGAAUAAAGCUCCAUUUGAUUGUUAAAAUGUCAAAAUGCAAAAAAUACAGCUCCAUUUGAUUCCGGUAUGCUACAAAUAGCUACUAGUACUAUUCCAACAUUCAUGCAUCAGUUGGAAGGUUCUAGUAGAGAGAGGGGGAAGGUCCAAACAUAUUCCAUGCUAGUGCUAUGGAUUGCCGAGAUUUUAAGGAACAGGGCAAUGUACGAUUUCAGUAUCUUCAGAAAUGGCAAUCAAAGGGCGUAAUCAUGUUUCCUCAGCAGUUCUGUGAGGAGCACUGCACUGCAGGAUUAAUCAUGCUUCUUGAGGGGUUCUGUGAGGAGCAAUCCACUGCAGGAAAUACUGAAAUGGAUAUAAAUCACUGGAACAGCAGACCAAGAUCCACUCCGGGAGAUAAACUUCGUCCUGGUUCUCAACACUUGGAUCUGAGUUCCUCCGUCCGCUCACCAUCUCCAACACCAGCAUGCCAAAACUGUACACAUCUGACUUGUAAGACACCCCUCCAAAGUUCCGAGAGUAUAGCUCUGGUGCUAUGUAUCCCAUAG
rnacentral:rRNA from 1 species